rnacentral:rRNA from 1 species
UACGUAGGGGGCAAGCGUUGUCCGGAUUUAUUGGGCGUAAAGAGCGUGUAGGCGGCUAGGUAGGUCCGUUUGUGAAAACUCGAGGCUCAACCUCGAGACGUCGGCGGAAACCAUCUGGCUAGAGUCCGGAAGAGGAGAGUGGAAUUCCUGGUGUAGCGGUGAAAUGCGCAGAUAUCAGGAGGAACACCGAUUGCGAAGGCAGCUCGCUGGGACGUAACUGACGCUGAGACGCGAAAGCGUGGGGGAGCAAACAGG